UUAGGUAGCGAACUUAAAACGGUUCAUAGUUUAGAUAUUUUUAUCUUCAAAAUAUAACCGGUGAUUGUCACAUUCCGAUACGGUUAUUUUGGUCGGUUCGGACACAUACACAGACUGCCGAACAAAAAAAGUCUCUCCUAUCCGCUUAAGGUGUAAACAAAAUAAGUACAUUAAAUUUCACUCAGAAAAAAUAACAUAAUACAAUUCUGCACGAGGAUAUAUCACAAUAGCGAGAAUUUAAACCUAGCCAUUACAAUAUUUGAAC
rnacentral:lncRNA from 1 species